UCGUUAGGAAUAUUGCUCAAUUCCAGUUCGAAGUUGCCUAAUUCCAGUUACGACAAAAACAGCAAGAUAGAGUUGCAUUUUGGUUCGGAGAAAUAAACUGAGUGACUGGCAAGUUCGAUUCAAGAACAUACAACAACAUCCUCAAAGAACAUAUUCUUCCUUUUUGCAAGAUGAAAUCAACUAGACAUAUUGGUGUAGUACAUGACUGGUUCCCGGUUAACCGCAGCAAAGCUGCUAUGAAAUUUGUUACUGAACCAGAGGGUAACAUUGUCAUUCUUGAUUUGCCUAAAUAAUUCGGGGACGCCAUACCCGUUGAAACUGUUUGACUGAAAAUGAUCAAUGAGUUCACUCGCGGAUUUGUGACGGCUACUAGUGAAGAAGGUUUAUUGUGAGAGGAUUCUAUGAUUUGGCAAAAGGUGUGCCACGUAGAAUACAUUCAUCAACUAAUUUCAAACAUUCCGCUAUAACUUAAAAAAUGUGUUGAUUGCCAUGGCUCAAAAUUGGUAGAUUAAGCUGUUGUGUUACUAUUUUGGUUGAUGCAAUAAAAGCAGUUAAUACAAACUUGAUUUUGUUAGAAGUAUAAUUGUCUAACACAAGCAACAAUAACUCCAGUGACUCCACAGACUAGGCUAAAACUUACAUGAAAUAAAAACUUGAUACACAAAAUCUUUUUUAGAAUUAGUGCAAAGAAACCAAAGGUAUUUUAGUUAUUUGUACUCUAAAGGACACAACCACUUAUUUUUUAAAAUUUGUCAAUCAAAUCACUUUUCACUGCUUUUGAAAUUCUUUGACGUAGUACUGGUGCAUCAUUCUUGCGCUGCGUCAUUGCUGAAGCAAAUGAUUUCUUCCUCGACGUUGCUUAGAUUCACAUUUUCAGUCGCCGAGGGUUUCUUCUUCCUUUUAUUUUGUGGCUUAUCAGCAAUCGUGGCUGAAGUUUGAGCCUCAACAUUUUGGUCCCCCAAUUUCUAAGACUAAUUUUUUAGGAAGAAAUUUGAUAAGAACACAUAACUACUAUGAAUAUACAUAAUGAAAAACAAUAAUUAGCAGAAUCGCACAAACCAUUGCCUUCUUCCAAGCA